GACGAACGCUGGCGGCGUGCCUAAUACAUGCAAGUAGGACGCUGAAGGAGGAGCUUGCUUCUCUGGAUGAGUUGCGAACGGGUGAGUAACGCGUAGGUAACCUGCCUGGUAGCGGGGGAUAACUAUUGGAAACGAUAGCUAAUACCGCAUAAUAGUAGAUGUUGCAUGACAUUUGCUUAAAAGGUGAAAUUGCAUCACUACCAGAUGGACCUGCGUUGUAUUAGCUAGUUGGUGGGGUAACGGCUCACCAAGGCGACGAUACAUAGCCGACCUGAGAGGGUGAUCGGCCACACUGGGACUGAGACACGGCCCAGACUCCUACGGGAGGCAGCAGUAGGGAAUCUUCGGCAAUGGACGGAAGUCUGACCGAGCAACGCCGCGUGAGUGAAGAAGGUUUUCGGAUCGUAAAGCUCUGUUGUAAGAGAAGAACGAGUGUGAGAGUGGAAAGUUCACACUGUGACGGUAUCUUACCAGAAAGGGACGGCUAACUACGUG
rnacentral:rRNA from 1 species